rnacentral:lncRNA from 1 species
AGGAUGGAUGGCCUAGAUUGGCCCACUUGAGGAGAUCAGAUGGAGGAGAUUUAAAAGAAAAGGGACGGCCCAGAUCGAGUCAUAAAGAUCCAACGGUUGAAGGAAUGGGUAUAAAAAGGGAAGAGUUUAGGGUUUUCUCUUCAUUUUGAAAAGUAGCCGAAAAAAAGAGAGGGAGAAGAAAAAAUAGCAAUCGGGAAGAGAAGGAUGAAGAGAGGGUCAUGUGGGGAAGUAGAGAGGAAGAAAAAAGGAGAGGGAAGGAAGAGGGAAGGGAAAGGAGAAAAAAAGGAGGAAGGAGAAGAAAAGAUAGGAGGGGCCGAACGGGACAAAAAGGGGAGCCAAAGAGCGACUGCCAUGAGGGAAGAAGAAAAGAAGAGAGGGGCGGAGGCAGAAGAGUGUGGAAACUGAAGCAAAAGGAAGAAAGAGGAAGAGGAAACGAUCGAGACGCAAUAUGACUGGGGAGACCGAGGCAAGCGAGGUAAAGUUCGUCCUUUUCAUCUUUUCUUCCCCUAUUUCCAUUCAAUCUAUUUCUAUUUUGCAGUAAUCAAUUUUUUAGGCGUAAAAAUCACCAUUCUAAUUGCAAGCAUGCAAGGGAG